GAUGGGAAUGAAGUUCUCCCCUGGCAUAAGCCUUAACCGCUUUUUUAAGCUGAUGACUUCUGCAA
rnacentral:ncRNA from 1 species